rnacentral:rRNA from 1 species
GUUCCAGCUCCUACGGGAGGCAGCAGUGGGGAAUAUUGCACAAUGGGGGAAACCCUGAUGCAGCGACGCCGCGUGAGUGAAGAAGUAUUUCGGUAUGUAAAGCUCUAUCAGCAGGGGAGAAAAUGACGGUACCUGAGUAAGAAGCUCCGGCUAAAUACGUGCCAGCAGCCGCGGUAAUGCGUAUGGAGCAAGCGUUAUCCGGAUUUACUGGGCGUAAAGGGAGCGCAGGCGGCUUGGCAAGUCUGAUGUGAAAGGCUGGGGCUCAACCCCAGGACUGCAUUGGAAACUGUUAGGCUGGAGUGUCGGAGAGGUAAGCGGAAUUCCUAGUGUAGCGGUGAAAUGCGUAGAUAUUAGGAGGAACACCAGUGGCGAAGGCGGCUUACUGGACGACAACUGACGCUGAGGCUCGAAAGCGUGGGGAGCAAACAGGAUUAGAUACCCGCGUAU